rnacentral:rRNA from 1 species
AGAGUUUGAUCCUGGCUCAGGACGAACGCUGGCGGCGUGCUUAACACAUGCAAGUCGAACGGAAAGGCCCUGCUUUUGUGGGGUGCUCGAGUGGCGAACGGGUGAGUAACACGUGAGUAACCUGCCCUUGACUUUGGGAUAACUUCAGGAAACUGGGGCUAAUACCGGAUAGGAGCUCCUGCUGCAUGGUGGGGGUUGGAAAGUUUCGGCGGUUGGGGAUGGACUCGCGGCUUAUCAGCUUGUUGGUGGGGUAGUGGCUUACCAAGGCUUUGACGGGUAGCCGGCCUGAGAGGGUGACCGGCCACAUUGGGACUGAGAUACGGCCCAGACUCCUACGGGAGGCAGCAGUGGGGAAUAUUGCACAAUGGGCGGAAGCCUGAUGCAGCAACGCCGCGUGCGGGAUGACGGCCUUCGGGUUGUAAACCGCUUUCGCCUGUGACGAAGCGUGAGUGACGGUAAUGGGUAAAGAAGCACCGGCUAACUACGUGCCAGCAGCCGCGGUGAUACGUAGGGUGCGAGCGUUGUCCGGAUUUAUUGGGCGUAAAGGGCUCGUAGGUGGUUGAUCGCGUCGGAAGUGUAAUCUUGGGGCUUAACCCUGAGCGUGCUUUCGAUACGGGUUGACUUGAGGAAGGUAGGGGAGAAUGGAAUUCCUGGUGGAGCGGUGGAAUGCGCAGAUAUCAGGAGGAACACCAGUGGCGAAGGCGGUUCUCUGGGCCUUUCCUGACGCUGAGGAGCGAAAGCGUGGGGAGCGAACAGGCUUAGAUACCCUGGUAGUCCACGCUGUAAACGGUGGGUACUAGGUGUGGGGUCCAUUCCACGGGUUCCGCGCCGUAGCUAACGCUCUAAGUACCCCGCCUGGGGAGUACGGCCGCAAGGCUAA